rnacentral:misc_RNA from 1 species
AAUGAAUCUGUCCUUUGCUGUGGUGCCAUUCCUACAAUAUUCAUAUUUGGACAUUGAGCCAACUCUAACUCUGAGUUACCACCAACUGAUCCACCCACCUGCCUAAAACUUCCAGGCCAAUGCAAGCUAACAUCAACAUCUUCCAUGAAUACUGGCAUCCCAUAAUAGCCUUGCACAAAUCUAGCUCCACCUCUUGUACCUGGAGGCUUUUGUGAUGGUAUGAUAUUCUGAUGCAUUGCAGAAUGAGCUUUGAUCCCAAGGGACCUAAAUGCAGAACCUUGAAGUGGCAGAGAUGCCAAGCUUGCGUACCUAUCUGAAAAUAUUCCCAUACGCAUUGCACGCUUAGCCAUUGUUCGUUCCCUCUUAUGCGCAUUUUGGUGGCCUCCA